rnacentral:rRNA from 1 species
GAUGAACGCUGACAGAAUGCUUAACACAUGCAAGUCAACUUGAAUUUGGGUUUUUAACUUUAGGUUUGGGUGGCGGACGGGUGAGUAACGCGUAAAGAACUUGCCUCACAGCUAGGGACAACAUUUGGAAACGAAUGCUAAUACCUAAUAUUAUGAUAAUAGGGCAUCCUAUAAUUAUGAAAGCUAUAAGCGCUGUGAGAGAGCUUUGCGUCCCAUUAGCUAGUUGGAGAGGUAACGGCUCACCAAGGCGAUGAUGGGUAGCCGGCCUGAGAGGGUGAUCGGCCACAAGGGGACUGAGACACGGCCCUUACUCCUACGGGAGGCAGCAGUGGGGAAUAUUGGACAAUGGACCGAGAGUCUGAUCCAGCAAUUCUGUGUGCACGAUGAAGUUUUUCGGAAUGUAAAGUGCUUUCAGUUGGGAAGAAAAAAAUGACGGUACCAACAGAAGAAGUGACGGCUAAAUACGUGCCAGCAGCCGCGGUAAUACGUAUGUCACGAGCGUUAUCCGGAUUUAUUGGGCGUAAAGCGCGUCUAGGUGGUUAUAUAAGUCUGAUGUGAAAAUGCAGGGCUCAACUCUGUAUUGCGUUGGAAACUGUAUAACUAGAGUACUGGAGAGGUAAGCGGAACUACAAGUGUAGAGGUGAAAUUCGUAGAUAUUUGUAGGAAUGCCGAUGGGGAAGCCAGCUUACUGGACAGAUACUGACGCUGAAGCGCGAAAGCGUGGGUAGCAAACAGG